rnacentral:rRNA from 1 species
AGUCACUGACAUUAGAUACCCGCGUAGUCCCAGCUGUAAACGAUGCAGACUAGGUGUUUGGACGGCCACGUGCCGUUAUAGUGCCGCAGGGAAGCUGUUAAGUCUGCCGCCUGGGGAGUACGAUCGCAAGAUUGAAACCUAAAGGAAUUGGCGGGGGAGCACCACAAGGGGUGAAGCUUGCGGUUUAAUUGGAGUCAACGCCGGAAAUCUCACCGGGAGCGACAGCAGUGUGAUAGCCAGAUUAAAGGUCUUGCUAGACGAGCUG